AACGAACGCUGGCGGCAUGCCUAACACAUGCAAGUCGAACGAGACCUUCGGGUCUAGUGGCGCACGGGUGCGUAACGCGUGGGAACCUGCCUUUAGGUUCGGAAUAACUCAGAGAAAUUUGAGCUAAUACCGGAUAAUGUCUUCGGACCAAAGAUUUAUCGCCUUUAGAUGGGCCCGCGUUGGAUUAGCUAGUUGGUGGGUAAGCCUACCAAGGCGACGAUCCAUAGCUGGUCUGAGAGGAUGAUCAGCCACACUGGGACUGAGACACGGCCCAGACUCCUACGGGAGGCAGCAGUGGGGAAUAUUGGACAAUGGGCGGAAGCCUGAUCCAGCAAUGCCGCGUGUGUGAAGAAGGUCUUCGGAUCGUAAAAGCACUUUCGACAGGGACGAUGAUGACGGUACCUGUAGAAGAAGCCCCGGGCCUAAACUUCGUGCCAGCAGCCGCGGUAAU
rnacentral:rRNA from 1 species